GAAAUGGACGGCUAGGGUUCCGGCCUGCUUCAAGCAGGUGCUGGUCCGAGAGCUGUCGACCUCGGUGAGGUUACACGGCGGGAUAAAAGCCCGGGAGAG
rfam:Burkholderia fungorum strain ATCC BAA-463 chromosome 1, complete sequence.